rnacentral:misc_RNA from 1 species
AGAUACCCCACUAUGCCUAGCCGUAAAAUCACUUACACUAAUAUCGCCAGGGUACUACGAGCCUAGCUUAAAACCCAAAGGACUUGACGGUAUUCCACCCAACUAGAGGAGCUUGUCCUAUAAUCGAUAAUCCACGUUAUACCUAACCAUUUUUUGCUUUUCAGCCUGUAUACCUCCGUCAUAAGCUUACCGUAUGAGCGCAUAAUAGUAGGCCUAAUGGUUUAUAACCUCACACCAUCACGCCAGGUCAAGGUGCAGCUAAUAAAAUGGAAGAGAUGAGCUACAAUUUCUACCCUAGAACAAACAAAACGCUGAAUGAAAUACAGCUAAAAGGUGGAUUUAGAAGUAAGUGGGGAAUAAAGAGCUCUACUUAAAUCGGCCCUGGAAUGUGUACAAACCGCCCGUCACCCUCUUCAAUAACAACAAAUUAGCUUUAUAACAUAACUAACUAUUUUCAGAUGAGGUAAGUCGUAACAUGGUAAGUAUACUGGAAAGUGUACUUGGAACAACAAAAUGUAGCUUAACUUAAAGCCUUCCGCUUACACCGAAAAACCGUCUGUUUAACUCAGACCAUUUUGAGCCUAAAAUCUACCCUUCAUUAAACUUAUAAGACCCCCAAUUAUGGUCAAUAAUAAAAACCAUUUACCUCUUCUAGUUAGAAGUGAUCGAAGAAUAACCAAGAGCUUAAGAAACAGUACCGCAAGGGAAAAAUGGAAUAAUAAUGAAAUAAUAUAAAGCCCACUAAAGCAGAGCCCUAAACUCGUACCUUUUGCAUCAUCGUUCGGCCAGUUUAACCAGGCAAAACGAACUUUCAGUCUGCCACCCCGAAACUAGACGAGCUACUUCAAAACAACCUAAAGAGCCAACCCGUCUCUGUAGCAAAAGAGUGGGAAGAUUUUCAAGUAGAGGUGAAAAGCCUAACGAGCCUAGAGAUAGCUGGUUAUUCAAGAAAAGAAUAUAAGUUCCUCCUUAAAUUUUUAGAUGUGUAUAAACAAGACCCAAAAUUUAAGAGUUAUUCAAUUAAGGCACAGCUUAAUCGAAAUAGGAUACAACCUCGACACUAGGGUAAAAUAAUUAUAACCAACAAGUANGCCUAACAGCAGCCACCUUUUAAAAAGCGUCAAAGCUUACUACAUCUAAUCUUUCUAAUAUAAUAAAAUUAAAUGACCCCUUACUCAAUAUUGAAUGACUUCAUAACCAUAUGAAAAUCACUAUGCCGGAACUANUAACAAGAAUUUAAUAUUCUCCAAAAUGUAAACAUAAACUAAAAUGGAUCCCCCAUUAGUAAUUAACGAAAAUGAAAUUUAUACACUAACACCCCGAGAAAAACGUGUAUAUAUAAACCGUUAACCUGACACAAGAACACUCCUGGAAAGAUUAAAAGGAAAAGAAGGAACUCGGCAAAUCUUAACCCCGCCUGUUUACCAAAAACAUCGCCUCUUGACAUUAUAUAAGAGGUCCAGCCUGCCCAGUGAAAAUUAAACGGCCGCGGUACACUGACCGUGCAAAGGUAGCAUAAUCACUCGUCCCUUAAAUAGAGACUAGUAUCAACGGCAUCACGAGGGUUAUACUGUCUCCUCUUCCUAAUCAGUGAAACUGAUCUCCCCCGUGAAAAAGCGGGCAUACACAUAUAAGACGAGAAGACCCCAUGGAGCUUUAAACCAAAAGGCAAAUUAAAUUAAUAUACCACUAUAACCCCUUAUACCAUGCACAUUGGUUUUAGGUUGGGGCAACCACGGAGAAAAAAUCAACCUCCGCAACGAAAAGACCUUAAUCUUUAUCCCAGAGCCACCGCUCUAAGAAUUAGAAUACUAACGGGUAAUGAUCCAACUUACUAGUUGAUCAAUGGACCAAGUUACCCUGGGGAUAACAGCGCAAUCUACUUUGAGAGUUCCUAUUGAUAAGUGGGUUUACGACCUCGAUGUUGGAUCAGGGUAUCCUAGUGGUGCAGCCGCUACUAAAGGUUCGU